AUUGCUGUCUCUAUGGAAGGGAGUCAAUGAUAUAAGAAAUGUGUGUAUUACAUUGAGAGAGAAGUAUUACAUGGAGCGAUUUCUUAUAAGAAGUUCAGGAACUUUGCCUCUGCGACGGCAGAGAUAUCGGUGUUUCUUAGAUCACAGAUUCAAAACUAAGAUAUAUACAGAUGGGUAUAUAUACAGAGAGAGAGAUAAUAACGGUAAAAAUAUUUGCUAAUGGAAAGAGUCCGGUUCGAGCAAUGAAUAAGUAAAGAGAGUACUUAUUAAGAAGCGCAAGAGGCGCAGUAUUUUUACGGCGGAUUAUCAUCAAGUGGCAUGCCCCAUUGACUCAUUCCAUCAGAUCAGCGGUACAUGAUACGUUUGGCAAAUUUAACGCACAAGUAAAUUCUACUGAGCUAAAAAAAUUAAUAAUAAUAAUAAAAAAAAAACUUUAAAAGAAGGGAAGAGAAAACUGUAAGUCCUACCAAAUUGCUGUAUGUGGACUCGCCCUCACAGUUAUAGAAGCUGUAAAGAAAAGAAAAAUAUGGGAAAAACAUAUAGUAAAACACAUCCUGAGACACAGGCUAUGAAAAAGUUAGAAGAACAGAAAUUUAAUUUGGAAGCAAAGAAGAGAACCUGUUGGUUCCACAUGAGAGGGAGACGGAGAACCACAUGACUGUGUCGUACUGACUAACGAACUCUGCUCCCCUAGAGUCGACCUGAAGGAUGUUCCAUUGGAAAACCCAGAUCUGAUCCUUUUUGUGGACAGGUCAGCGUCACGUGACCCAGAGACAGGUAAAAAUCGAGUGGGCUAUGCAGUAGUAACCGCACACGAGACGGUCUGUCAGGAAGUCUCCCCUCAAACGUUUCAGCACAAACAGCUGAACUGUAUGCCCUCAUACAGGCAUGAAAACAUGCUGAGGGACAGUCAGUAAAUAUCUACACAGACAGUAGAUAUGCCUUUGAGGUAGUACAUGAGUUGGGGACAAUUUGGAAAUACAGGAACUUCCUGACGAGUUCAGGAACACACAUAGCCCACCACAAACCAGUCUCCGAGCUGCUGGACGCAGUCCUACUCCCCAAAACUAUUGCAGUAUGCAAAUGUGAUGCACACACUAACAAAUCAGAUCCUGUCUCCCUAGGUAACGCGCGAGUGGACAGUGCAGCAAAGCAAGCAGCUGCAUCUAUGGUCCCAAAACGCAAAAAGAAAAUAAUCACACCUUCUUUACAGCUUUCGGACCUCCAAACACGGGCUACGCGGACGAGGAAAAGGCUGUGUGGCGCAAAGCAGGCUGCAUGGUUGUUGACGGAGUUUGGCGGUGCCCCCAGGGCUGUCCUUGUCUUCAAAGUUGACACAUGGCAGGGACCAUACGUCAAAAGGGGGAAUGAUAGCUGCGUAAAGCAUUGGUUUCUCAAAUUACUCUAAAAAUAUAUAUAUUUUUUCAUUUGUUUACGAUGUUUGCGCAACUCAUAACAUGGGUUGAGGUUUGAAGGUAGAGAAGACCACGUCCCUACGUCCAAACAGGAUUCAGACGCGGUAGUGAUAAUGAUAAUCUCCAGUGAUAAUGGCACACCUUUUGUGAGCCAUGCCCUUAAGUAGGUGGGUGAAUAUUUGGGUAUUGAAUUAAAGCAGCACUGUGCAUAUCAUCCAGCUAGUGGUGGGGCGGUAGACAGAGAAAAUAGCUGCGUUUACAUGGACAACAAUAAUCCACUCUUAAUCCGAUUAAGACCAUACUCUAAUUAAGAAAUUACCAUGUAGACGGCAAUUUUUACUUACCUUAAUCUAAUUAAGGUCAUAAUCAAAGUAAGCAAUAAUCUAAUUAAGACAGCUGGAGUACUCCUGUUUUAGUCGCAUUAUGGACGUGUAGUAGUGACAUGUAAACACCUUAAUCACAUUAUGAACGUUGUGUGAGAGUUUUCACCGCAUUUUGCGACAGGACACGAUCACACACGGCAGUUUUACGGCGAACAAGAGAGUUCGGCUGUGUCCCAAAUCGUGUACUUGCCUACUAUAGGCCUGUAGUGGGGAAAAAUACAUGAAUCUCGGCUACUAUAUAGACGGUAACUACGCGAUUUGGGACACACCCACCGCUUCAAGCAGUUGUCUAUUAGCACGUACAGCAUGACAAAUAAUUAACUGCACUUAAAGCGUUCGUAAAAAAUAAAUAAAUAAAAACACCCAAAACUGUAUACGGUACCAUAACGAAGACGAACUGUAUGUUGAUACGUGAAAUUCUGGAGGGACGUCGGACGGCGUGGCGUGGUGACGUAAUGACGCGUGUUAAUCUAAUUACGUUCUAAAACAUGUAACACGGGAACAUGACAGGAGUAUUCUAAAAGCGACUCAUGUACACACCUUAAUCACAUUAUUAUCUUACUCAGAUUAAGGUCAAUAAUUAGAUUACUGCUGUCCGUGUAAACGUAGUCAAUGGGACACUAAAAAACAGACUGAGCAAAUGCUGUUCUGAAACAGGCUUAGGAUGGGUUUAGUCCCUUUGGGAUACUGUUUGGGAUACCUCCACACACAGGAAUUGGACCUGUGACAGCUCCUCUUCCUGACGCUGCAGCAUGUGAGGAUGCGAUGUUAAAUUACUGUGCAACCCUGUCCUCUGCUCUGCACUCUAUCCACAAGCAGGUAAAGGCGGCAUUUCGAGCUCCAGCCACGGGCCCGCCGCAUGAUCUGAAGCCCGUAGGUUGGAUCGUGAUCAAGGACUUCCGCAGGACCAGGUGGAACAAGCCACGGUGGUCGGGCCAUUCUAGAUCCUUUUCAUCACUCGCUCUGUGGUAAAGGUCAGCCAGAGAGCCAUGUGGAUGCAUGCGAGUCACUGCAGUCGAGUGCCAGAGCAUGGAGCUGGAGAAGACGGGACUGCAAUAAGAGAACUAGACCGUAAUUCUCUAUCAAGAGGCCUCUAGGAGGACCUACGCUCACGAGCGACGAUCUGCAUAUACACACCCACACACACACGACACACUACACCCCGACACAUCAACACACCAAUCCCACGCGACUCCACGAUGGACGGUCUUAAGUAGUAUCUAGCAGACUGGGAAAUCACGGACAUGUAGUUUUUGGAGAAAAUGUUGAUGACAUGGAAACUGUACUCUUCGGAGGACUGAACUUCAUUAGUUCGUACUAUACAGCCACGUGACCAGGACAGAGGUUAGACGACGUGACUUCGCUACCAAACCUCUUACGCCUCAAAGCUCCCUGACCACAGACUACUGUUGCAGACUAGACACAAAUCAUUAGAUGUCGACCUGCACAUCCACUCAUACAUACAAACCUAUUCCUAAUCGUGCACCCUUCUCCUGGUAUAGGUGGUAUCUGGGACCGUUCCCAACAACACUGGGGGUCCGGGGGUAGACCCUUAAGCUGGAAAGAUAAACCAAAGCGUGAUACUGAAGUUUUUUGGGUGGAAGACUUAAUGAUCAAUCACGCCAAUCACAUCGUUGCAGCAGGAAGAAUGCAUGAUGCACACACUUUUAUCCAAAUUUGGUAUUUAGCUGAUCAUGAUGACGGGACUAAAUGCCUAAGGCGACGUGACUUCUACAGGUCCCACAUAAGCUCGCGAAGUUCUCUAGUAGACUAUUGCUGCAGAUUGGACGACAAUUAGUAGUUAAAAGCCCGUAUGCCAAGAUAUUGGCUCCUCUGUAAACCGUUCUGUAUCGCCUUUGGACAUAAGAAUCACUGCCAACAGUGCUACCCAUACAAUGUCACACGUCCCCUCGUCAUGCAGACACAUAAUGGUUAUUCUAUCAUUGAACACAGGCGGUCUGCGAUACGCAACCCUCCACAGGCUAGCGAGACGGGGUUUGAUUGGCUGAACUCAGUACUCGGGGAAUGGGGCUCGUGGAUAUUAACCAUCUGUCUACCAAUAGCUGCAAUAAUUCUUCUUGUCUUGCUCAUUUUGCCUCGUAUCGUUCUCUCGUUCGGAGCAGUCUCUCACACUCGUUGAAAUCACUAAUGACCAAACGCUAAUGUUGACAAAGACAGAGUACGAUCCCUAUGAUGACCUAUCUGACUUGUAUCCUAAACCUGACUGGGUACCAGAUCCUCCCAGCGACACUGAUGAUGACGACCCAUUGACAUCCAUUUCACAACUAUUGUAAAUAUUCCUUUGACCAGGACGACUCUCAUUUCACUCUAAAAUAAGCUUGCUUGACUACAGGAUACUUUAUAUCCGCAAAAACAGCCUUAGCAGUUUCAUUAUGUCUGUUUCAUGAUGAAUUCAGUUGAACCGUGAAAGGUUUCUGAAGUUCUGAUGUACCCAUAGAACAGUAAUUUCUCUGUUAAUUUUAGUUAUCAUAUUUUGUAAUGAUAAAAUGGGGGAAAUUAUUCAUUUUUACUUUGUAAUAGUUUUGUUCUUGUUCUGUUUCACAUCUGAGGAUAAUGCCUAAAAAGGUCAUGUCACUGAGAUCAGUACAGAAUGUUUAUCUGCUUACAGAGACACAAACAUGUUCUUCUGUUCAAGGUUGUUCUAAACAUCUUCCAAGACCCUGAAACAAAGCCUGUUUGAACUGCCUCAAACUGCUUCUUAUCGGUGCACAGAAUUAUGUCAUGCUCUGCGUUUCAUAUAUAUAGUAGUGGUUUAGUACAAGCGCUUCAGAGCGCUCUCAUUAUUCUAUCCUGCUUUAUUCUAUCCUGUAUUAACCAUCUUUCUCUAAUAAACCUUUUUUUACCAUCA